rnacentral:rRNA from 1 species
CAGUAGCCGCGGUAAUACGUAGGCAGCAAGCGUUGUUCGGAGUUACUGGGCGUAAAGGGUGCGUAGGCGGUUCUAUAAGUAUGGUGUGAAAUCUCCCGGCUUAACCGGGAGGGUGCGCUAUAAACUGUGGGACUAGAGUGUGGGGGAGGAAAGUGGAAUUCCUGGUGUAGCGGUGAAAUGCGUAGAUAUCAGGAGGAACACCGGUGGUGUAAACGGCUUUCUGGACCAUAACUGACGCUGAGGAGCGAAAGCGUGGGGAGCGAACAGGAUUAGAUACCCCCGUAGUCCCUGUCUCUUAUAC